rnacentral:lncRNA from 1 species
AAGAACUUGACCGUUAUUCCAAGGUCUUAAAUAUCCUAGAUUCCGAGUAGUUCAGAUUAUCCCGAGGCUUUGAGAUCAAUGUUCUUGAUAUGUGAUUUCUUUUUUGAUUCAUUCUUUACUUUGUUGUACUUGAAGCAAGUACCUCACUGAGAGCUUUGUAUGUUCACGAAGUUCCACUACAAGGUUUCUUUUACCUGCGUUUCUUUCAGUUGUUGUGUUUAAUGUGCCUUGCAUAGUAGUGGAGAUGAAUUAAGCCUUAUGAAGCUCUAGCUCCUCUAGACUUGUCAUCCAUUUCAAUGAUUCACCAAUUGAGGGUACGGCAUUCUAAUCUGCUAAUUUUCACAUUGUUCCAUCAAGGAAAUGGUGUACGUAUUACAAGUAAAAAGUUGUUAUCCUUACUGUCCGCCAAGACUAUAGAAUUAAAGCUUGAAGGUUCAAGCUUGCACCUUAAUAUGCUAAAUUCCACAAAAACCAACUUUAGGUUACUGGCGAUUCUGGACGUGCAAUAUAGGAAAGAACUUGACCGUUAUUCCAAGGUCUUAAAUAUCCUAGAUUCCGAGUAGUUCAGAUUAUCCCGAGGCUUUGAGAUCAAUGUUCUUGAUAUGUGAUUUCUUUUUUGAUUCAUUCUUUACUUUGUUGUACUUGAAGCAAGUACCUCACUGAGAGCUUUGUAUGUUCACGAAGUUCCACUACAAGGUUUCUUUUACCUGCGUUUCUUUCAGUUGUUGUGUUUAAUGUGCCUUGCAUAGUAGUGGAGAUGAUAAUGAGAGUUAAAUAGUGGACUGGUGUAUUGUUAUUUUGUUUUUGCAAACCUUUUAUAGACUCUGGAGUUGUAACUUAAAUGAGUAUGGUGAUAAUAGAUUAUUUUGUCUAAAGGAUUAGCGAUUUGGUAAAUUCCAUAACGAGGCAUGUUUCUACUUUGGCCAAACUUACUACUUUCUUUUCUUUUAAGUUCAGAAAUGAUACAGUUACCGAGCAUCGGGUGAGGUAAAAAUUCUAUCGGCAAGCGCUCCCCCGUUAAAUAAACCUUAUGCGGUGCCAGUUUGGAUUAAUCGAGACCCAAUGCACAUACUUGCAUGAGAAGCAAAAGAAAAAUGCACUUACAGUUGAUGGGUAUUCUUUCACAAAGUUUUCAGCUAGUAAUAGAAAUAUCUUUCUUACGUAUGAAACCUCAGCGAAAUUUGCUUGUAAAAUAUACUUCAC